GCCUUCGUGGUGUAAUGGUUAGCACACUCGGCGCGUGAUCGCCGAAGUCUAGGUUCGAGUCCCGGCGAGGGUG
rnacentral:tRNA from 1 species